rnacentral:lncRNA from 1 species
AAUUCAUCAUGGUAUCAGAGCAUUGAAUUGAUAAUUGUUUGAUUCACUGCAAUCGAUCCUGAAAACCCCCAUUGAAGAAACAUAGAGUUUUGAUAGCUGACAAUGCCUUCUGCAAUUGAAGAAGUAGCAGCUGCAACUGUUACAAUAAAGACACUUUAAGUAAUUGAAUCAAAGAGGAAUCAUCCUCUUUACCUCCAUCCAUCGGACACUCCAGGCUGUGCUUUAACCUCGGGUCAACUCACUAGAGCAGAGAAUUAUGCAUUAUGGAGUAGAUACAUGUUAAUCACUCUUAGGGCAAAUAGUAAGAUCGGUUUUGUACUCGGAACAUGCAGAAAAAAAGAUUAUGCACCGAAAUUGGAGGAGCAAUGGGAGAAAUGCAAUGCAUUUCUGCUCGCCUGGAUUAUGAACAGAGUCUCAAAAAAAUUAUUGAGUGGAAUUGUUUAUGUUUCAGAUGCUGUAAUGGUAUGGGCAGAUCUGAAGGAGCAAUUUAAUAAAGUUGAUGGUUCAAGGACAUAUCAGCUUCACAGGGAAAUUUGCACGAUAAAUCAAGGUAACAUGUCUGUUCCAGCUUAUUUUUCGAAGUUAUGAUUGCUUUAGGAUGAAUUUGAUGCUCUUGUACCCCCUCCAGCAUGUAAUUGCGAAAGAUCUAGAAUGUAUAUGGAUCAUGUACAUUAUCUUUGAUUGUUUUCUUUUCUAAUGGGAUUGAAUGAGACGUAUGGGCAUGCACGUAGUCAAAUCUUAAUGUUGAGUCCAUUAGCAAGUGUAAGCAAGGUGUAUGCAAUCAUAAUGUCAGAUGAGAGUCAGAGAAUUACCUCGACGAUGCGUACUAGAGAAGAUAUGGUGGAUAACACAACACUGCUUGCAGGGAGAGGAACCUAUAAUUGAACUGAUGGUGAUAGGUCUGAAUCAUCCAUGAACACCGGUAGAGGAUACUAUAAUGCUAAGAAGAAGGUGAAUCAGAAUCUAUUUUGUGAUCAUUGUAAGAUGCAUCGCCACGCUCAAAAGGUGUGUUUCAAACUGGUUUGAUAUCUAGAAGACUGGAAGUUUAAAAGGAAGCCAGCAGGGUAACAUAAUGAGCAAAACUUCACAAACUCGACUAGAGGUAUCAAUGUAACUAGAGGAAGAGGCAUUGCAAAUAAUGUACAGGUUUCUAGAGAAGAUGAGACUGCAGAUGUGUUUGGACUAGUUGAGAUAGGACAGAAGUCUACACAUGAUCCUUAUGACCUUAAUUCCAUUCGAACUAACCUACAGACACUUGCUGCACAACCAAACUUUACUUCAAAGCAAUAUCAGAAGAUAGUACAACUUCUAAAUAAAGAGGAGAAGGCUGCUGAGAUGGUCAACAUGGUAGGGAAUUCCUAUGGUAAAAUUCUUUCAGCAUCCACUAGAGGGAAGGAUUAUGUGGCUAUCAUGAAUGAUAGGAAUGACACACUAAAUAGUGGAAUAAUUGGAUAGUUGACUCUGUGGAAACAUGCCACAUGACUUCUCACCUUGAUAAAUUGGAUCAUAUCAAUUCAUCUGACAGAAACAUAGGUAAGAAAGUAUAUCUUCCUAAUGGGCAAACUACUUUAGUUACUCAUUCAGGUAGUUGUGUGAUACCAGCAGCAGGGGUAUUAGAAAAUGUUUUGGUGGUACAUGAUUUCAAAUACGACUUACUUUUAAUGGCUUAGCUGACUAGACAACUCAAAUGUUCUAUCCAUUUUGAUCCUGAAUUUUGUGUUUUUCAGGACCUCUUCAAUGGAGAAGUGAAGGGAAUUGGUAAGGAGGUAUAUGGGUUGUACUACUUUUCCAGUUAAUUCUCUUCUUCAAACACAACUGCUGAUGAUGAAAAGGUGGUGUUAAUGACAAAGAUAUGUGAAUCACAAUGCAUAGUAUGGCAUAAUAGAAUGGGUCAUCCAUCUAUAAGAACUUUAAGACAAUUGUCCUUAGUUAAGAAAGAGUCAUAUGUUAAAUUGUGUGAAAAUUGUCCGGUGUGUCCUUUUGCAAAACAAACAAGGCUUCCAUUUCCUGUAAAUGUGUCGAGAAUAGGUGAUAUCUUUGAUCUUAUUCAUCUUAAUGUAUGGGAACCAUAUAGAUUUUCUACACAUAAUGGUUUUAGAAUUUUUUUUCUCACCAUUGUGGAUGACAAUUCAAGAAUGACUUGGUUGUUUCUAAUAAAAUACAAAAGUGAUGUAUUUGGUGUUCUGAAAUCCUUCUUUUCAUUGGUUCAAAUCAAUUUGAUAAAUAAGUAAGAAGAAUUAGACCUGACAAUGAAACUGAGGUUUUUAAUAGAGAUUGCAAUUCAUUAUUCUCUUAUUUGGGUAUAAUACAGGAGAGCAGUUGUCCUCAUGCCCCUCAACAAAAUAGGGUGGCAGAGAGGAAACAUAGACACAUACUUGAGGUAGCAAGAGCUUUCAGGUUUCAGGGAUCCAUUCCUAUUAGAUUUUGGGGAGAAUGUGCAGAAACAGUUGUAUACUUGAUCAACAUAAUGCCUACUGAGGUGUUACAAGGCCAAUCACCUUACGAAAUCUUUCAUAAGGUUAAAUCAUCCCUUGAUCAUUUGAGAACCAUGGGUUGUUUAUGUUAUGCCACCAAAGUUGUGAAGGUUGAUAAGUUUUCCUCUAGAGCAGAUGCCUGUGUCAUGAUAGGGUAUUCACCAACUCAAAAGGGGGUACUUGUUGUAUAAUCUGAGCCUUCAAAAAAUUUAUAAUAAACAGGGAUGUUGUCUUCAAGGAGCAUGUAUUUCCAUUCAGCAAAAUGAAAGAUAAAUACUUGCCAAAUUUUGUUCAACAGAUAGAUAAACUUGGAUAUGAAGAGCUUCAGAAAAGAGUUAUUACUGAUAAUGAAGUUCCCACAAACGAUGCACUUGAUCAUCAGAAUAUUAUGAAUGACCUGAACCAAGAUGUUGAGAAUGAUUCCUUGGUGAAUCAAGAUGUUGUCAAUGAUCCAAUUGUUAUUAAUGAUUCCUUGGUGAGUCAAGAUAUUGUACAUGAAGUCAGGCCUAGAACCUCCUCAAGAGUAUCUCAUCCACCUGUUUGGAUGAAAGAAUAUGUGACUAUUAUGACAGCCUCCAUGCACCCUCAUUCCUUAGCCAACUAUGCAUCCUAACAAUCACUUAUCUCCCACAUACCAAGCAUAUUUGAGUGGAAUAUCCACUGACACAGAACCAAGUAGUUAUGAAGAAGCAAUCAAAGACCCCAGAUGGGUAGAAGCCAUGAAGCACGAAAUUAGUUCAUUGGAAGACAAUGGUACAUGGAGAGUAAUGAAGUUUCCUCCCAGAAAGAAUGACAUAGGGUGUAAAUGAGUUUUUAAGAUCAAGUAUAAGGCAAAUGGUGAAAUUGAUAGAUAUAAAGCCAGACUUGUAGCAAAAGGCUAUAGCCAGACUGACGGAAUUGAUUAUCAGGAGACUUUAUCACCAGUGGUAAAAAUGGUGACGGUUAGGACCAUUAUUGUUGUUGCAGCAGCAGAGAACUAGAUGAUUUAUCAAAUGGAUGUUUUUAAUGUAUUCUUGCAAGGAGAUUUGGUUGAAGAAGUGUACAUGGAUUUGCCUAAGGGAUUCAAUAAAAGGGAAUGUAGGCUUUUUAAGUCAUUAUAUGGACUUAAGCAGGCUUUAAGACAAUGGAAUGCAAAGUUGACUGAUGCAUUGUCUAAAUCAGGCUACAUUCAGAGUCAUCUGGAUUAUUCCUUGUUUACAAAAAGGAAAGGCACAUCAUUGGUGAUUGUACUUGUAUAUGUAGAUGAUUUGUUAAUCACAGGGAAUGACUCCACAUUGAUACAAGAAACCAAAUAGGUUCUGCACAAACAUUUCAAAAUCAAAGAUUUAGAUGAGCUGAGAAAUUUUCUGGGAAUAGAAUUUUGCAGAUCAGAGAAGGGAAUUGUUAUGAACCAAAGGAAAUAUGCUUUAGAGUUGGUGUCUGAAGCUGUUCUAGCAGGGGGAGACCUUCAUCUAUACCUUUGGAAUGUAUCAUGAAACUUACUAGUGCAGAGUUUUUUGAUUCUGAUGCAUUAUUCACUGAUAUAGCUAAAUAUCAAAGGUUGAUUGGGAAGUUGCUCUAUCUUACUAACACCAGACCUAACAUAGGUUUUUCAGUUCAGUGUCUGAGUCAAUUUAUGCAGAAGCCUACUAUGUCUCACUAGAAUACAACUCUGAAAGUAGUGAGAUAUAUCAAGGCUGCACCAGGUCUAGGACUACUUAUGAGUGCCGAGAAACAAACAAACCUUACUAGCUUUUGUGAUGCAGAUUGGGCUGCACGCCCCAACACAAGAAGGUCAGUGACUGGAUUUUUACUGAAGCUUUGAUAUCUUGGAAAUCAAAGAAGCAGAACACAGUUUUCAGGAGUUCUGCAGAAGCAGAAUAUAGAAGUUUGGUUACAUUGACUGCUGAGGUGGUUUGACUGACUAAAUUGUUUAAUGAAUUGGGGCUGAGCUUAGAUAAACUUGUCACCAUUCAUUGUUAUAGCAAAGACAGAUUUACAGAUAGCAGCAAAUCCCGUGUUUCAUGAGAGGACGAAGCACAUAGAAAUUGAUUGCCACUUUAUCUGGGAAAUGAUGCAACAGGGCUUGAUAAGAACAAGUUAUAUCAGCACCAAGGAUCAACAGGCUGAUUUGUUGACAAAGGCACUUGGGAGAACUCAAUAUGAUUUUCUACUUUCCAAGCUAGGUGUUUUGAAUAUCUUCAGUAGACCUAGCUUGAGGGGGAGUAUUGAAGAUGAAGGUUCAAGUAGUUAGUUAGGUUCACAAAGUUAGUUAAGGGUUAAUUAAUUGUACUUGUCAUCAUUAUAGUCGGUUAAGUUUGUUACACAAUUCUAGAAGAUUAGAAGUAGUUAGCAAGUAGUUAGUAACUAGUACAAUUGUAUAUAUAGGAGCUCUUUCUUUCUGUAAUCACAGUUUUAGUAUGCAAUACAAAAUUUCUCAAUUCUCUCUUCUCUCUUCCUAAAUUCAUCAUAUAUAUAUAUAUAUAUAUAUAUAUAUUCUAUUAUUAAAGUUACCUAAGUUUCAUAAGUGGUCCCUAAAUUAUAUUUCCUUAAAUCAAAACCAGACAAUUUAUUUUUAGCACAUAAAAAUCAUUAGACACUGACCAUUGUAUUCAAAAAUCACAAUGCUAAAAAAUUUUAAACUUGUGUAUUGUUAAGGGGAAUUUCAAUCUAUCUUAAUGAUGCUAAGGGAAUUGAAAAGCUUCUUUAAUGUAUCUAGGUUGGACACAAAUACAGUAAAAUCAAAUAUCUAUGGAGCGAAUAUGACAAGCCAAUGUGUAAAUAAUAUUUGUGAGUUGACUUGGUACCAAAAAGAGGCCUUACCUUUCAGAUAGAUAUCUCUCAAGAUAGAUAUACAUAAAUAUACAUAAUUUUUUCCGAAGUUAACGGAUGCACGUGUACACAAUCUAGAAGGGUGGGUCUGCCUCUAGCGAUGGGUGGAUCAUGUCUACGUGACACCCCAGAAAUUUUUUCGAACUAAGACUUGAACCAUCCUUCGUUGUGAGUAGGAUUUUUACCGAGCACGUCUCCGUCGACGUGCCUCUUUCAACGUGUUUUUUAAAAAUAAAAUUUAAAAAAUUAUUUCUUUUGUUCUUCUUUAAUUUAAUUAGUUUAUAAUUUUUUUUGAAAUAGAAUCCGUUUUAGCUAUAACUUUUAGUUUUAAAUUCAAAACUUAACGCUGAAGCGGGAAAAAAAGUAACUAACAACUUAAAUCAUGUUAAAAUUUAAUCAACUUGCUAAAUUCUACCUUUCUCUUAUUAUAUAAGAGACCGUUUGUGUUGAAGCAGACACGUCUCCGUCGACGUGCCUGCUUCAUCGUAUUUUUUUUUAAAAAAAAACUUAAAAUUUAUUUCUUUUUCUCUACUUUAAUUUAAUUAUUGUAUAAUUUUUUCGAAAUUAUGAAAUCAUUUUUAGCUAUGACUUUUAGUUUUAAAUUCAAGACUUCACGUUGAAGCAGGAUAAAAAGCAAUUAACUUAAAUCAUAUUAAAAUUUAUUCUACUUUCUAUAUUCUACCUAUGUCACAUAAAUUAAAUUAAAAAUAAAACUAAAAUAUUAGGCCCGUGCUAGCACGGGCACCUAUUUCUAGUAUAUAUAUAUAUAUAUAUAUAUAUAUAUAUAUGCGCAAGGACAAAGCCAUAAGUGUGUGAGGGCAUUUUUAUAUUAAUUUUAAUACGAUAUGUGGGACCUACAACGUGCUUUUCCUCAACCAUUUUUUUCUCGUUCCUGCUUUUCUCUUUCAUGUUUUGUUUCAUUUUCUAUCUUUUUAGUGGAGUAUCUAUUUUGAAACCAAUUUCAUUAUUACCUAAUUUUUAUUUUUGCUUAUCAUAAAAAUAAAAUUUUCUUUUGUCUUAUAUAUUUUAUUAAAUAAAAAAUAUAUUGUUUUUUUAAUAUUAUUGUAUCACUAAAUAAAUGCAUAAGAUAUUAAUAGUCAAACUUAAUAUUUUAAAACAUAAUUAAUAAAACAAAUUUAAUAAAAUAAACCUCUAACAAAAUACAAGUGAAUCUAUAUAUAAAAAGAAUUGUGAAAUACAUAUUAUUAAAUUAUAUAUUAAAUAUUUAAAUAUUAUUGGCAUAUAGAAAAUAUGAGUGUUACAACUAUAUUGUUGUUGUUGUUGUUAAUAAAAUAAACCUCUAACAAAAUACAGGUGAAUCUAUAUAUAAAAAGAAUUGUGAAAUACAUAUUAUUAAAUUAUAUAUUAAAUAUUUAAAUAUUAUUGGCAUAUAGAAAAUAUGAUUGUUGUUGUUGUUGUUAUUAUUAGGUAUUUGUCCAUAAAUUCUAAAUAUAUUUUUUGGUUGCAAUUGUUGGCAUUGAAGAUGAAGUUGUGUUGGUUAUAUAGUUUGUAAAGAAUAUUUAAAAUGAUGUUUUUUUAAUGUACUUAGGUAAAUUGUUAAAAGUAAAAAAUAGUCUAGAAAUAGAUUAUUAGAUGUUCAAGUUUUUUAAUAUAACUUCAAAUUGAAAAUAAAUUAUAUUUCAAAUUUUGAUGGCCAAACGUUGAUUUUAAAAUAAAUUGAAAUAUUAUUACGAAAAAAAUAAAUAUUUUUAUGUUCGAAUGGAUCCUAAAACUAGAAGUUGAAAAAUAUAUGAAACAUAAAGAUGAUUUUUUAAAGAAUGAUAAAUGAAAAAUAAAAGAAAAAGAAACAAAAAGAAUUUUAAUAGACAAUUUUCAAAAUAUAAAUAACCAUUCAAAUAAUUAAUUUCAAUUUUUUACGCUCACAACCUCUAAUUAUCUACAACAUGGGCUUGACACAUUUUAUAUAAAAUUAUCCAGCUCUAACUUAUAUAUUAAUCACAAAAAAUCCAUUGGAAAUUCACUAAUCGAAAAAGAACAACGGAUAAACUAAUCAGAUCGUCUAACUAAUUUGACACAGGUCUUCAGGAAGUUGAGAAUUUGGAUAGAGCAUUAGUAAUUCACAAGGACUAUCAAGGCUUACAUGGAGACAGCUUGGGAGGGCAGGAUGCUGUGGUGUUAGAUACGGUGGAGUUUGAGAAAGAGCCUCAUCUGCAUUUAGAAGAUGUUGAUAACAGAUACAGGUCAGACAAUAGUGAGGAGCUCCUUACUGGUUGCUCACCUGUCAAUCAAGAACAUAUGCACAAUGUUAGUAUGAUUAGUGCUGCUCAAAAUGCAAUAAUCAAGUUUUCAGGGGUAAUCAAACAAAGUUCUCCUAUCAAAGAACUUCAUGAUUUGGUUUCUCAUAAAAUUGUAGAUAAAGACAACACUUCAGUAGAGGUAACAAAUCAACAGCAAAAUGAUCUAGUAAUAAACAAGGAUGAAAAUGAAAACUACAGUGAUCAUGCACAGGUUGUAAAUAAUGCAGGAGGUUCCCCUCAAGGGAAAUCAAAGAAGAAGAAGACUAAAUCUCAAGGGGAUAAGCCUAUUAGGAUUAACCCUAUGAGGUCUGGUAGAGCUAUGUCAAAAUGAUCUUUAAAGCAUUAAUAUGGAAUAUUAGAUCAAUUAGAUCUAAACAUUCUUUCCAUAGAGUGCAAAUGCUUCAUAGACAUCACAAAUUUGAUUUGGUUGCCUUGAUGGAACCUUUUCAAGAGACUAGGCAGAUCCAACAGUAUAAAAGGAGACUAGGCAUGGCCUAUGCAAAUUAUAAUAUCAAUGGGAAGAUUUGGUUGUUUGUAAAGGAGGACAUUCAGGUGGAGGUUGUUUCAGAUUCUGAACAACAGUUGACUAUUAAGAUGUUAUUCCGUAGUGGAUAUCAGAUUGUUAGUACUCUUGUCUAUGCUAAGUGUACAACUGUUGAAAGAAUUCAAUUGUGGGAAGAUUUGUAUGUCAUUGGGCAAAAUAUGUAUUUCCCCUGGUGUGUUGGAGGGGAUUUUAAUAUUAUUAUGGAUGCCGAAGAAAAGAUAGGUGGUCUACCUGUCUAUCCUACUGAGGUGGAUGAUUUUGCAUUUUGUGUCAAUUCCUGUGAAUUAUUUGACAUUAAAUUCAAAGAUAGCCCUUUCACUUGGUGGAAUGGGAGGACGGAUGGUGAUUGUAUUUUUAAAAGAUUAGACAGGGUUGUAGGGAAUCAAGCAUUUUUGGAAGGGUUGGGUCAUGUGGAGUUAGAACAUCUAGCUAGGACAGGGUCAGAUCAUGCUCCUAUGUUGCUAUCUUGUGGAGUUAAAACUAUCCAGUUCCUCAAACCUUUUAGAUUCCUCAACUUUUGGUCUGAAAAGGAAGGGUUCAAAGACCUGAUUAGGCAAAAUUGGGUUGAUGAUCAUUCUGAUGAUGUGUUUGUUAAUUUAAAGCUCAAGAUGAAGAAGACUAAACUAGCUCUUUCUAAGUGGAGUAGAGAAAGUUUUGGGGAUAUUUUCAAACAAUUAGUUAUAAGGGAGGAUAUUCUGAAAAUCAAAGAAAAAUUGUUUGAGGAUGUUCCUUCUGAUGCUAAUAGAAUUAUCCUCAAUAGAGCUCAAGAAGAAUAUACAAAAUACUUGAAGUUUGAAGAGGAUUUCUGGACACAAAAGGCUGGGAUGCAAUGGUUCAUUGAAGGAGAUAGGAGCACUAAAUUCUUCCACAAUAUUGUAAGAGGAAGAAGAAGAUUAGAAAUAUCCAAAAUGCAUAAAGCUGAUGGUACAUGGGCUGAAGGAAGUGAAGUUGAGGGAGAGGCUGUAAAAUUCUUUCAAGAUCAAUUUUCCAGUGAUUUGCAGGAGUCUAGUCUACCCCUUGUGGAUUUAAUUCCCUCUUUGAUUAAGGAGGAAGAUAAUGCAAUGCUUAAUAGGAUUCCCUCUUCUGAGGAGGUUAGAAAGGUGGUCUUUGAACUUAAUGGAAAUAGUACAAGUGGACCUGAUGGUCUGACUGGACACUUCUAUCAAGUUUGCUGGGAUAUAGUAGGAGAUGAUGUUGUGAAGGUGGUACUUGCUUUUUUUGAUGGGAUGACUCUCCCUAAAUUCAUCACCCAUACCCACCUUGUGUUGAUUCCUAAGAAGGAGAAAGUGAUUUCAUUUGUUGAUCUAAGGCCUAUUAGUCUGAGAAACUUGAUUAAUAAUGUUAUUUCCAGAGUUGUUCAUGAUAGACUGGAAGUAUUCUUACCUACUCUUAUUUCUGCUAAUCAAUGUGGUUUUGUUAAAGGAAGAAGUAUUACAGAAAAUGUCCUACUUGCUCAGGAGAUUAUUGUGGAUAUCAGGAAGAAGAGUAAAACUACUAAUGUGGUGUUUAAACUUGACAUGGCUAAAGCAUAUGACAGGGUAGAUUAGAGCUUUUUGAUUAAAGUAUUGGAAAAAAUGGGCUUUAACACAGUAUUUAUUGAUAAAAUAUAGAGGCUGGUGGCCAACAAUUGGUAUUCUGUGUUGGUUAAUGGCCAAGCUUGUGGAUUUUUUCACUCAACUAGGGGUGUUAAACAAGGAGAUCCUUUAUCUCCUUCUUUAUUCAUUCUAACAGCUGAAGUCCUUACUAGGGCCCUUAAUAAUUUGUUCAGCUAUGCAGGGUAUCAAGGGUUUGGUCUUCCAAAGUGGAGUGAACAGAUUAAUCAUCUUGCCUAUGCUGAUGACACUAUCAUUUUUGCUAAGGCAGACAAAUUUUCUUUGAACUUGAUUAUGAGGACUUUACAAGAUUAUGAAUCCCAAUCUGGUAAAAAAUUCAAUAAAGAAAAGAGUGCAUAUUUUGUUUAUCACAAGGCAGCACAAAGUGACAUCCAGAUGAUAGAAGAGUGUAAUGGUUUUACCAAAGGUAAGUUCCCUCUAACUUAUCUUGGGUGCCCAAUUGGGCAUGGCAGGAAAAGGAAAACUCAAUUCUCUGAACUCAUUAAAAAGGUUCAAAACAAAAUUCAAGCUUGGAAAGGGAAGCUUCUGUCGUUUGAGGGUAAGUCUGUAUUGAUCACUAAUGUAUUACAGAGUGUUCCUAUAUAUCAGUCGUCUGCUAUCAUUCCUCCCAAAUGUGUCAUUCAUGAUCUUCAUAGAAUCUUUGCAAGAUUUCUAUGGAAUUUUAAGGAAGUAGGAAGAAAUAAACACUGGGUUUCCUGGAACAAUGUAUGCUUACCCAAAAAAGAAGGUGGUCUAGGAUUUAGAUCCUUAUUUGAUGUUUCAAGAGCUUUAUUUGCUAAACUAUGGUGGAAUUUUAGAACAAAAAAUACUAUGUGGUCCCAGUUUAUGUGGAAUAAAUACUGUAAAAGGCACAGACCACAAACAGUAGAGUGGAGAGGGGGUUCUCAAACCUGGAAAUAUAUGCUAGCUGCUAGAGAUUUUUUUGAUCAGGAAAUAUGGUGGCAACCAAAUGGUGGGCAUUCUAGUAUCAUGUUUGACAAUUGGACACAAUUAGGGGAUCUAUAUUACUACCUACCAGUGUCUAAUAAUAAUGAAUGGAUGCAUAGAGAUGUUGAUCAAUUAUUUCAUGAAGGGAGGUGGAAUGAAGAGCUCUUAAGGACCGUAUUCCCUGAGAAUGUUGUAAAUCAUAUUCUCAAUGAUAUUGAGAGAUUUCAGGAUUCAGAGGAAAGAGAUAUUCCUAGGUGGAUGUUAAACAACUCAGGGAAAUUCUCAAUGAAGUCUGCAUGGGACAAUAUCAGAAUCCCUGGAAUUGAGGAUGAUAGUUUUGCUAGGAUGUGAGAGAAGGGUGUACCUUUUAAAGUAUCUUUCUUUUUCUGGAGAUUAGCAAUGAAAAGGAUCCCUAUUGGUGAAGUCCUAGCCAGAUUUGAAACUGAGGAGGAGAUGGUGUGUUGCUGUUGUGAUCAGAUGGCUAAUGAAAGUUUUCAACACCUCUUUGUCUCCUGCCUUGCUGCUAAUCAAAUGUGGAGUAGUUUUACUAGAGCUGCUGGUGUAGAAGGUCCUUUUCUUCAGAUAAAGGACACAGUGUAUAAGUGGUGGAAUGCAACUUGUUCAGCUAAUCUUAGACCUCUAUUCAAUGCUAUACCUGGUCUAAUACUCUGGCAAAUUUGGAAAAAGAAGAAUAGAAUAAGACAUGGUGACAAAAUGAAUGUGCAAGGAAUGAUAAAUGGAAGUAAACAAGAACCUGCACAUGUUAGCUGUUUUUAGAUACCCUUGGCUGAGGAAUAUCCCUGAGGAUUGGCCAAAUUUGGUGCAUUUCUUUGAAGGAUAUAAACCAAUCUUAGUUCCUAAGGUCAUUCAUUGGAAACCUCCUAUGGAGGGGACCUAUAAAUGUAACUCAGAUGGAGUUUCUAAAGGAAAUCUUGGACAAAGUGCUGGUGGGUUUUGCAUCAGGGAUUGGAAAGGUGAAUUUAUAUUUGCUGCAACCUAUGAUCUUGGCAAAAGAACAGGUUUGCAGGCUGAAACUAGUGCCAUGGAGAAAGGUUUAAAUUAUUGUGUUACACAUAAUUUACUUCCUGUGUGUUUAGAGACGGAUUCACUGGUUUUGACCAAGAUUUUAAAUGGGGUAUUGGAGGUCCCUUGGAGCAUUAAAAUUCAGAUUCAGAAGAUUGAAUUUUUGAGAAACAAUAGGGAGGUUGCAGUGCUACAUACGCUCAGGGAAGGCAACAAAGUGGCAGACUACUUCACUAACUUUAUUUUUUCUUUUGCAGGUACAUAAAAUAAAACUUUCCAAUCAAUUCAAGAUGUACCAAAGGAAGGAAAAUCCUUAGUACUCAUGGAUGCAAAUCAGAUUCCAAACAUUUGAAUUACUAAAAUGCAAAAUAAACUCUAUGGUUUGUAGUUUCGAACUAUAAUCUUUGCACAAAAUGAAAUGCAAUUGCAGUAUAAGUCAAGCAGAGGAGAGAAAGGAAAUACCUAACAAAUAUACAUAGACUUUAGAUCCUAGCUUCUUAGACAGUGGUAUCAGUUCCCUCGGAGCUCAAUCUGUCAAGAGGCGAAGAUCUAAGGAAAAUGGUUUUCUACAAGGCACUGAUAUCUGGAGAAAGCUCCAAAGAAGAUAGAUCUGUACAGCAAUGUAAGGGCAAUGAAUAACAAUGUGAUAUUGAGAUUCUUGUUGAAUAAUCGAUAGGGAUGUGGGGGUUACCUCUCACACAGGAAAGGGACCAAUGUUUUGAGCUGAAGAAGUCUUCAACGGACAAGAAUACAUGGCGUUAGUGAGAUUUUUAACGUCUUGAUGUACUCUAUCCAAGCUCGAUGAUAUGAGUCUCUAGUUCCACAGUGAGUAAGGUCUAACUCCUAUCUCAUCAUUUGCACAAGGAUCUUUGAUGUAGGUCCACCAUAGCUGCCGGAGUCGAGAAGAGGUUGACGGAGGUCCACCAUUGAUGACGGAAGAUUUAGAGACAGUGGUGUCUUGACUAUAGGAGGGUUUUGUCUUUCCCCUUUUUAUUUGUUUUUUGUUUCCAUUUCUUGUUUCAGAUUUUGGAUUAGGCGUUUUGGGAC